rnacentral:lncRNA from 1 species
AUGAGGCUUUUGCCCUGUUGGCAUUUUCUCUCAUCUGGCUGCAGCCCCACCAACAGGAUUAGGGUUUCAGCAGUGAAUUGUGCAGCUGUGAGAACAGAGCUUGCUCUGGGAGCCGCAAAUGCGGCCUCUGGAGAAGAGGUGGAGGGAAUGUCCCUGAGAGAGCUCAGCUUAAUGCUGGCUUCUCAGAGACAACUGCUCAGCCCCUGGCAAGUCCCCGAAAUAUCAUGUAGCCGGUGGACCUCACCUCUUCACAACACUGCUCAUGGAUCGUCAUUCAAUGAAGAAGGGGCCCCUCGUGGCUGGAAUGUGCUUCAAGUGUUUGUAAUGUCCACCAGCUUCGGUGCGGCUCUCCACUGUCUUGUGAACUUUGGCCAAAGGCUCUGAUUAUGUCCUGACUUUGUCCGAUGUGACCUCAGUUUACUGAGGCUUGGAACUCAACUCCUUGCAACAUCUCCUACCUCUUCAAGCACUUCUGGAAGGUGGUGGGAGAAUUUUCAAACGAAUUUAUGAAUCUUCCCACGGUCUUCAUGUUGCCAGGACAAGGCUGCAGCUCCAUGCUGCUCUCCCAAGUGGACUGUAUGUUAUCACUCAUCCUUGCUCUUCUGGGUAUUGCAGCUUCUCAUGCUUCCAUGAUGGCUAACCUAGGACUCGAACCACUGAAGUUACAAGGGUAUCACAAAAUCACAAGCUGUACUUAUGCUCCAUGGGGAGGCAGCACUUUCAGCCUAAAUACAUCUGGUGAUGGAUUUAUGAUGGUGGCUUAGUAAGCUAUUUCUAUACAUAGCACAUAUUAAAAUUACACAGUAAGUGAAACAGUACAAUAGAACACUACAUCGGCAUAGGUUGGGUUAUGUUUCAGUAACACAUAUGCCAAAAUCUCAGGGAUUUGAAAC